rnacentral:tmRNA from 1 species
UUAACUGGCAAUAAUAAUUACGCUCUUGCUGCGUGAUCGAAUAACAGUAGAUCAAUCGCUUAAUCCUGUCACAGGUGAUAGGACAAGACAUCACCCGGAAGCUGUGGCUUCGAAGCGUUUCGAUACGGUGGUGCAGGUAAAUCGGAGAUAGGAUAGGCGGCGCUUCGACGCUUGUCCGAAAUUUAAGAAGCUAAGGUUUGAGUGGGUGGCUUCAGUCUUGCUCAUUCCCGACAAUUAAAAUGGAGAUAAGCAUGUAGAAAGCAAAUUAUUUCCUCGUUUGGACGAGGGUUCAAGUCCCUCCAGCUCCACUG